UUGUAAUCUCUAGAAGUGUUUUCCGCGUUGGACCGCACACAAGUCUGUUGGAAUACAGCGGCAUAGUGGUGAGACCCCCGUAUAUGGUGCGGACGCCCAACGCUUUGUGAUACACUUUCGAAGAGUCGAGUUGUUUGGGAAUGCAGCUCAAAUUGGGUGGUAAAUUCCAUCUAAAGCUAAAUAUUGGCGAGAGACCGAUAGCGAACAAGUACCGUGAGGGAAAGAUGAAAAGCACUUUGGAAAGAGAGUUAACAGUACGUGAAAUUGUUGGAAGGGAAACGCUUGAAGUCAGACUUGCUUGCCGAGCAAUCGGUUUGCAGGCCAGCAUCAGUUUUCCGGGGUGGAUAAUGGUAGAGAGAAGGUAGCAGUUUCGGCUGUGUUAUAGCUCUCUGCUGGAUACACCUUGGGGGACUGAGGAACGCAGUGUGCCUUACGGCGGAUUUCUCGAGAUCUUCACACUUAGGAUGCUGGUGGAAUGGCUUUAAACGACC
rnacentral:rRNA from 1 species